AAAAAAACAAACCCUUAAUUUUCGUGUCCAACUUUGACUGUCCGUCUUUAUAAUUUUUUUUUAUAAUUCGUAUUUUCAUUAUUGUUAUAUGAUAAAAUAUAAUUAAUAUUUUAUGCGUGAUUUGUCUUUUUAAUUUUUUUAUAUUUUUUUUAAAUAAGACGAACGGUCAAACAUUGAACACGAAAAUCAGGGUUUGUCUUUUU
rfam:Oryza rufipogon genomic scaffold, chr01